rnacentral:tmRNA from 1 species
GACCCGAAGCAGGCUGUAGGUGGCCGGCGAAGGGUUAAGAUUAAAUCACCAACUACACGCGUAGAAGCGCCGAUGCCGGCCGUCUCGGCACGGGGGUUCGAUUCCCCCCGGCUCCAUUU